GCAAUUGUCACUAUUGGCAAAACAGUAGCUAUCUUGUGACCGUGAGAGAGAAAAUAUGGAAAGGAAAUCCAACCAGCUCAGGAUGAGAGGAGGAAAACACACAGUGAGACUCGGUCCCUGAGGCCUCUUGGAGCAGCUGCAAAAGUUCUGGCCUGCCCUCCUAGAGACUCCUUUCGUGAGAAAAAUGAACCUCGUCUGUUUUAGGCCAGUCUUGGGGAGGGCUUCGGCUACUUAACACACUGUCCUGGCUAGUAAGCAAGAGUUGACAGUUUCUACUGUGGUUUGUCUCACUUUUUAUCUAGGCAGUAAAAUGAUCAAUCUUCAAGAGGGUGACGCCACAGACAUCCCCUUCCAUCCGCUUCUGUGCCGAUCAGCUGUGGCAUGAGGGCUACAGCCCCGACGCAGGUGUAAACAUCCGUGUGGCUCUGACACUCCUACACGAGAAUGCUUCUUGGAUUUGCCGUAAAACAGACUAAAAGAACGACAGGUGAAGUCUAAGUACAUGCUAUGUGCUGAGCAUUAUUCUAGGUGCUAUACAAUCAGUAUUAACUCAUUUAAUCUUAACACCACCCCUAAGAUGUAUUAUUUAUUAAUCCCAGUUUACAUAUACAUAUUUAAAGCUCAGAGAGUUUAAGCAACUUAUCUAAAGUCACACGACUGGUGGAACCAAGCACAGGCCCAAGCUGGCAGUCUGGUCUCAUAACCCUGGUGUGUCCACAGUUGGCUCCUUCCGGUGGGUUCUCACUCUGGCUGACUUCAAGAAUUAAGCCGGGGAUCUUCUCGUGAGGAGCCCUCCAGACCUGCUCCAUAGCGACGGCAGGACCUGCCUCCCAGCAGAGCAGAGAUGAGCUAGUCAGGAGCAGGAGAAAUGAUCUUCAGACUCUGGGGCCCAGCAUUCCCCAGGUUUCCUGCAGGUCUCAAAAUCUAUCUUGAACAAACUUGCUUACAUCAUUUAUUUUUAAAUAAAAAAGAACCACUAUUGGGAGAAGGUAGUGCUUGAUUUUUUCUUCUUGGCAGAGUUCAUUCCAUAGCCUGCAUGAAAGCCAAGAUUCUGUGUGUUUGGUUUUGUUAUCUCUGUGCCCUACUCGAGUUUUAUUUAUGGUUGCAAAGCUACAGUGUCUAUAAAUUAGACUUCCAUACAUUUUCUUUUGAUAUUUUAUCUGAAAAGCAAAUAAUAUCAAUGGCAUGCUUACUACUUGAUGAAACUUACUAAGCAGAUCUUACAAUGGUACACUUUUUACCUAGAGUUGUUACAUCUUCUGUUACGAUUCCCACCCAACCUGGGAAAUAAAAGCAAUUUUUACAAAGUUAACCUGAAAAAGAUAAAAAUUCAUUUUUGCUUCAUUCUAAAAUCUCCAGCUGGAAAUGGAGAGAAGAUCAAAUUGUUUGUCAGCUGUGGCUCCCUCCUCCUUUUUGAAGAGAACUAAAUAUGCGUGCUUAGUUAGGCCCAUUGUUUUGUAAAAUCACAUCUAUUUUCUUUGCUAUUGUCGCUGUGAAGCAUGAAUAUAGCAUGCUGCCUGCUGGGCUGGAAAUACACCCGUCGAGCCAAUCCCGUACUUCAUUUAUGAUCUAUUAUUCUCCAUUAUUCCUGCAGAGCUUCUGAUUGCAUUCCUAUUAAUCGUUCUAAUUUGCUCUUCAUUAUGCUAUUUGCCAUUCAGUGUUGGGCCUCUACUCGGUUGACUUCCAGUGUUUAGUAACUUAUGUUGAGAUGCAGCUUUCUUUAGAUUGGUGCCGCUUGAGAACGCAGACACCCAGUAUCUUUGCUGCCUCCGAAAGGGCACCGCAGAGGCCUUAU
rnacentral:lncRNA from 1 species